rnacentral:misc_RNA from 1 species
GAUGAAGAACGUAGCGAAAUGCGAUAAGUAGUGUGAAUUGCAGAAUUCAGUGAAUCAUCGAAUCUUUGAACGCACAUUGCGCCUUUUGGAAAAUGCUAAAAGGCAUGCCUGUUCGAGCGUCAUUAAAAAUCUAUUUAAACCUUUUGAUAGGGUUUGCUUUUGAGGGAUGAGGCUGUCACCGGUUCUCACCUUUUAAUUACAAUGGCAGAUAAUUGUAAAUUCUCCUUGCCGGUUUAAAAGAAUGGUAGUAGUAAACAGAAAUUACUUUCUCCUCCGACAUUUUUUACCUAGCACUAAAGGAGUGUUUAUGUUCUAGCCAACUUAACUUUGGACAACUUUGUUUUUGACCUCGAAUCAGGCAGGGAUACCCGCUGAACUUAAGCAUAUCAAUAAGCGGAGGA